UGGUCCUGCCGGGCACAGUGGCGCGUGCCUGUAAUCCUGCUGUCUGGGAGGCUAAGGCUGAGGGAUUGCUUGGGUCCAGGAGUUCUAGUCUGCCCUGAGCCAUGUCGAUCGGGUGUCUGCACUAAGUUCAGUAUCAAUAUGGUGUUUCUGGGGGAGCUUGGGAUCACCAGGU